UUGGCUUUCUGCUUGAUGCCGUGCUGGUGGCCUGGCUGUUGGGGGCUGCCUAGGUCACAGGGUCCCCUUGGGAAAAUCUGUUGACUUCAGCAGCUAUGCUUGAGUCUGCUUGUUACUAGACAGCUGGUCUGUCUCCUCAGAGGCUUGGCUGAACCCUGUGCUCUCCUUCUCUCUACUUUGUUCUCGAGUUUUCUGCAUAUUCUCCCACCCACAGAUGUGAAUGUCAUGUGAUGUUGGCUUUCCAGUGUCUUGCAUGGCGUGGUAGCAGCAGAAAUGCGCUCGGCUGGGCACCCCCCGUGGGCCUUGGAGGCCACCCUGGGCUCCUCUGAAAAUACAUUUAGCUUCCUCUCCCUGACUUGCCUGGAGGAGCGAGGCCCUGUGGUGUGGUCUGGCUCUGAGGCCUGUGGUCCUGCUUGGGACUGGCAGUCUUAGGCUGAGGGAACAUUUUCCAGAGUAUAGCCGAGGGACAGAAUGUCUCAGUAAGAUGGGCUGGGAGGGGCAGGGUUUUGGAAAGGCCUCUGCUUGUCCUGGGAGGCGUUCAGGAUGCUGAGGUUUUGGAAGUCCAUGGCAGCUCUUUACAACUGCUCCCAGCUUUGGGAGGACGAAUAGUCGGGUGCCUGUUUCCUUGGGUUCAGUGGCAAAGGUGAAGCCCAGCACUGCCAACCUGGGACCUGGGCCUCUCCUGGACCUGGGCAGGACACUGGACUUUGAAGAGAAAUGCAGCCUAGAAGACCUGGACCCUGGAGUCAGGAGAUACUGCUACCAUUCAGUAAGCCCCGGCUGGAGCUCUGCUGGGCACCAACCCUGGCAUAAAAUCAGUGGGGCCUCCACGCCUGCACUCAACGGUGCCUCUGAUGGAGCAGUGCACUUCCCACUCUUCUCAGCUUGGAUGAUCUGCAAAUUCUACCAACCACACGUCCACCCAAGUUCCUGAUAAACAUGUUGAAGGGACCAGGCAGGGCCAAAGCUGUGCAAGAAGGUCUCACCAUGCCACCCCAGGCAGGCCUCGAGGUCCAGCCCCUGAGGAGUCACAAAGCCUUCAACCUGAACUACUCCACCCCUCCAGGCCCGCAUGGCAGAAGAUGCUACGAAAGGCUGGCUGGAAUCCAUCCACAGGGGCUGGGCCAUUCUAGUGUCCUCCCUCAGCCCAUCAGCAGCACACAGAGGUUACCUGGAUCAGACGCUGAACUCAUUCAUGGCGUACUGCAUUUUGGAUGGACAAACGCAUCUUUCCUGAGUACAUGUCCAGAACUGUGAUAUCAAGCUCACAGAGAAGUAGAGCAGGUUCCUCUCUGCACCCUUCCUGAGACGCAGGCCUCUUUGGUGACUGUGCUGCAGUUUGGCCUCUCGAGGCCAGGAGACCUGUGUCUGUAUGUACCUGUGACCCAGAAGUUAGGGUGGAGGUAGGCAAGGGGUGGAGAGUUGGGGAGAGAGGAGACACUUUUGGGAAUUGGUUUUCCUUAAGGCUGGAGUUUUGAAUAGGUGGUCAAUGUAACUGGCCGUAAACCUUGGAAUGAAACUCCUCCUUUCCCACUGGCAGAAAGGGCUGAACCGCUGCCUCGCACAUCCCAGUCUGGAAUUUGAGUCCCCCAGCUGGCUGUCUGCAAAGUGGGGAAAGAAGGGAAGAGGGGAAUCUGACUGAAAUGUUCUGGGCCUGGCUGGGAAUGCUGAGCUCUGAAAUUUGAUCGGGGACUGAAACAACUCUAAAUGUUUCCCACAUUUCUUGGAAAUGGAGGCUUUCUCACCAGAACCUGGGUUUUCUUCUGAAUAACGCUCCCCCCUAAACCUCUCCCCUACCCUGAUGGGGUGGGAGUUGGGGCAGGAAGCAGGAGUUUACCAUACCAUCAGCAAUCCUGGGCUGUUGCUCUCUGAAAUCACCAUCAGCCACUAGAAGGGAAAAGUGGGGAGGCCUUGAGGAAGAGGUGCAAGAGCUACCCCGAUUCCCAGGUUACUCUGCUGGGCUGCUGAGGCCCAGAGGUUUAUGUUCCUCCCUCUGCCCUGGUUCUAAAGCUCCUCCCCUGAGUUCAAGCUGAGUGGAACUGCCUGCUGCCCUGUGAGGGCAGCUGUCCCCUGCUUGCCCCUCCCUUUCUCUGGCUGCCCAACCCCUUGGCCUCUGCUCCCUGACUUCUGCUCUUUCAGGGGCCAUGGGAGAGAGAUGCCUGACCCCUGGAUUUUUACUGCCACCUCUUAGCCAUUAGCCUGGCGCCUGAGGCCCUCCUCACACCCCAGGCCUUUGCUGCCCAGGCCUGCCCCUCUCAGGAGCUGGAAGAAGCCACUGCUACGGUAGAAGUUUCUGUUGGAAAAAGGAGAGAACGUGGAGGUUGCAAAAGGAGGAGAAAACAGAGGCUGCGUCCAUGUUUGCGCAUUUCCAAAUCUGCAGCCGGAGAGUCACCCAUCAGGGGCUCAGCUUUGAGCCACAGCUGUGCCUGCCCCACUGAAGGAGAAGCGGCCUCCCCCACCCCUAGUUUUCUAUGAGGUGGCAAUGGGGCAUCUAAAUAGAGGCAUGAGCAGUAACAGAACCCCCUUCCUACAUAUUAUGCCCUCCAAGAAAGUAGGGGCCUGGGUUUAGGUCCACUUUGUCAUGAGCUGACUCAGGGUAGAGCCCCUGCUUCUCUCUCUCGUGGGUGUGGACUAUGUGGGUGAACAGGGUAGUGCCAGGGGUUCCAGACACUUCAGAACAAGCAUGGCUCAUCCCCGAGAGCAUCAGGUUUAUCAGACUGUAGGAAGAAAACUGCCAUCAUUUUCAUAUUGAAUAGCCACGUGUUUAUUAGGAAGGAACAUGCAAAACACGUCAAUUUUUAAGAAAACAUCACUUUUCCAACACAUCUCACUGUUGGAGCUCCUUGAAGCUAUGGCCUCAGAUGCUCCCUCUCCACUCCCUUCAAAUACGCCAGCCCUCUGUACCUCAGUUUCUUUGGCCAAGAAGUGGGACAGUAUUAACCUCACACAUGGGGAGAAGCUGGUGGGGCUGGGUGGAGGUGGGGUGGGAGGGAGUUGGCGGAAGCAGCCCUUUCCUCCUCCUGGGCCUGCAGCUUGCAAACCCCAGUUCUGUGUCCCCAGAGGAAAUCCUCACUGAAUGGGUCACUGGGCUUCCCCCAGCUGAGCUGGGUGUGACGAUCGCCAUCUCUUGGCCAUGUGCCUGGUCACCCAGAUCCCAGUGGCCUGGAGACUUCCUGCCUGAGCCUCUCCAGUCUGCAGGUGCAACGUCUAUCAGGGAACAGCUCCAAGGCAGGGCACCCCCAAGCACCCACCCUACUCCCUCCUUUUAUUUACUGGCCUUGGAGAAGCUGGGAGAAGAGGGUGUGAGGGGAGGGAACAGGUUAUUUCUUCUUCCAGAGGCUCAGAGCACCAAGAAGAAGGUUGUGAGCUGCCAACCUGCCACUGAAGCUGGCCGCUACCUGGCCCACCUCAGGCUUUACAACUUGGAAAUCCCACCUGAAAGGCUGGAUUUCUUUUCUUUAUUUUUGACGGAGUCUGACUCUUUCACUCAGGCCGGAGUGCGGUGGUGUGAUCUUGGCUCACUGCAACCUCCACCUCCCAAGUUCAAGCAAUUCUCCUGCCUUAGCCUCCCGAGUAGCUGGGAUUACAGACACAUGCCACCAUACCCAGCUAAUUUUUGUAUCUUUAGUAGAGUUGGGAUUUCAUCCUGUUGGCCAGGCUGGUCUUGAACUCCUGCUCUCAGGUGAUCUGCCCACCUUGGUCUCCCAAAGUGCUGGGAUUACAAGCAUGAGUCACCAUGCCUGGCCUGGAAUUCUUACUUCUCUUUAAAAGCUCAGGCCUGACCAGCUUGGCCCAUAUGGCACCCAUGGGCCACAGUGAGCAGGGACUGUCUGGUCGACAGCAGGCUUUGCCACAGGCCCCAUGGCCCCUAAUGCCCCACACGAGGCCCACCUGUCCACUUCUCCCAUUCCAUCACCUGCCGGUGGUUGUGGGUUGGAGCGUGUGGUCUCUGAUGACAUCUCUGGUGAGGAGAGACGUUUGGUCAGCUGGGCAUGACAUCCAUAGCACAGAAAAUACUCUUGGAAAGUCAGAGCCUUUCUGACCCUCAGGCAUGGCUGGUGAGGGCUGGGUGGUGGGGGAAGACCCCAGGGUCUCCUCUUUCCACUCUUGUGGGGAUCCAUCAGCCCUUCACACUGCCCUGGGCUUUGGAGAGACCUGGGGCUGUAGGCAGAGAGCCAGGAGGGAGCUACAGUUCUGUGAGGGCUGCUGGAAAGAAACAGGUCCCAUCCCUUGAGCCCCUGAUCCUAGUGACUGGUGUCCCCUACACUGCCCCAAGUGGGUGAGGUGUCAGCGCUGACAGCCCCCCCAGCCCUGCCACCCUCUGCAGAUCUCCCAGGCAGCUUCCCUGAAGGCUGGGAGCUCCCACUUCCAAGCAUCUCCAGGCUGUGGGUGGCCAGGGGGUGAGGCCAGGGGCUCUCUGUGUUUCUGCCUUUUCCAGACACUGCCAACCUUGUCAUUCAUUCAUCACAUCAUUGUUGGGUGCUUACUAUGUGCCAGCAAAGGUGUGAGGCACCUCUUCUGACUGUGUGACCUCAGGCAAACCACAACUUUUGCACCUCACCUCUCUUAUCUGUAAAACUCGGAUAUGACAGUAUCUGAUUUAGGAGGUCGUUAUGAUGAUUGACUCAGAUGAUGUAUAUGUCUCCCAGACUGGGCAUGGAGCUGGUAUACAGCAAGCGCUCAAUAAAUGUUACCCAUGUCACAGGCACUAUUAUUAAUAAGAGCAGCCACCCCUGUCUCCAGCCUCCAUUCUCGGCUUCUGUCCAUUUUCUUCCUUCCUGCUGUCCUCCAAGUCUGCACCCCAGGGUGCGGCCUCCCUGGGGUCCUAGGCCCGGGAGCGGCCCCCACCAGGUGCACAGAGGCCCCAUUCUCUGGGCGCGCAUCCCCUCACCCGCUCCUGGGGGACCCUGUCCGGUGACCUCGCGACCCUGUGGUUUGCGCGGGCAAAGAGGGGUCUUUUGUUCCCGGGCAGGGCCCGCCCGGGCUGCGCGACUCCCGCCCUAAUCCGGCUAAUUACCGUCCACACGGCUCACCGACCAGGGCGCGCGCUCGCCCACCACUUUCCCACGGCCGCGAAGAAAGCCCCUCAGUGCGCGCGGAGAACAGAGCGGCGAUUCAGCCGCGCCCGGCACAGCCAGGCCGCCGCGUCAACCUUCGCUGCGUCCUCUGCCGCUCUCUUGUCCUCUGUCUCUCUGGGCCUUCCACCCACCGGCUGUUUCCCUUUUGGUCUCACUCUCGGAGUCUCCCCAUCUUUCUCCCUCUCUGUGUUUUUAUCUCUGUCUUUCCAGGCGUUCUGUUCUCUGUCUGUCCCAUUCUCUCUGCCCGGCCUCAGUGUCUCCGUCCCUGAGCAUCUCCCAAGGCUGCGGUUCAGCCUGCCCCUCACUGGGUCCACGAGGGGUCCCAGUUCAAGCUGAGCAUCAGCUUCCGUUCUCUCCCUCCUGGGGACCCCAGGGUCCUGGCCCCUUCUAAGGAAACCAAGGAAGCUCUGGGUUUGGGCCAUGUCUCCUGACUGGUUUUGGGGGAAGCUCCAAAACAGAGAGGGGUGCCUCAAGAUGUCCAGCGCUGGCCCAGGUGUUGGGGGCGGGGGCGGGGGCGGGGAGGGCUCUUGCAGCAGCUCCUGCUGGUAUCCUGGGGCCAGGCCAGAUAGAAGAGCCACUCUGAAGUAAUCCCAGCCUUGGGGUCAGCCACUAGCUUCAACAGGGUUGACCAAGGAGAGAGUCUGGCUUGCGCUUGACUGGUUCUGGACCAGCCACCAGAGAGUUCAAACAACCGUUUUUCUAGAAUUCACUGUACUUGUCUAAAGGGUGUUGGACAGGCCACAGAAUGGUUUUUUUUUUUUUGGCACAAGAAAUUCAUUCAUUCAUUUUAGGACCCAAGGAAUUCAUUCAUUCACUCGGCAAGUAUUUGCAGCAUAUUUACUAUGUGCCAGAGAUUGUUCUAGACAGCAAGGAGAAAGACAUGAACAAAAUGAAGAUCCCUGUGUUUCAUUGUAACAGGGAAGGCCCACGGGUGAAAGGUAAGAGAAGCACAUUGACAGCUGGUGGGAAGGGCCAAGGAAAAAUGCAAAACUGGGAGGAGGCUGGCCGGGUGCAGUGGCUCAUACCCGCAAUCCCAGCACUUUGGGAGGCCGAAGCAAGUGGAUCACCUGAGGUCAGGAGUUUGAGACCAGCCUGGCCAACAUGGUGAAACCCUGUCUCCACUAAAAAUACAAAAAUUAGCCAGGCACGGUGUUGCACACUUGUAAUCCCAGCUUCUUGGGAGGCUGAGGUGGGAGGAUGGCUUAACCUGGGAGGCAGAGGUUGCAGUGAGCCAAGACCAUGCCACUGUACUCCAGCCUGAGCGACAGAGUGAGACUCUGUCUCAAAAGAGAAAGAAAGAAACAGAAGGAGGUGUUAGGAGCUAGGAGGAAGGGGGUCAGAGGUGGCCUGAGUCGGUGACACCUGAAGAGAUGUCAGGGUGGCUGGGCCUGCAGGCAAGUUCCCACCAAAGCUCCGGAUGGUUCUGCCCAGUGCCUUCAGGCCUCAGUCGCUGGGAGACGCCAAGACCCACUGAAGCCCGGUGGUGGCCCCCGGCUCACCGAGGGGCAAUGGCCAGGAAGAGUUUGGCUGAAAGACUUGUGCUGCAGGAAAACUCCUCCUGUCCCUCAUUUUGCUUGCCUUUUCUCAUCACUGUGAGGAGUUUUCUGACAAUGACAACCUUUGAGCAGAGACCACAAAUAAACCACACAGCCCCAUGGGAGGGUCCUGGCCAGGGCUUGGUGGUCUAUAUAGCAGGGAGACGUAGGGCCCUCUUGUCUGCAGAAAAAGCGAGGACUUUUUUACAUCAAGGUAACUGAGGGAGAAGGAUUAGUAAGUUUUGUGAGCUCAUAAAUCACAAAACAACCCAGUGGUGUCGUGGGUGUCCAAAUCAGGGGGACAAGAAAGACAGAAAAGGGCAAAAACAAAAAACAAAAGUCUGGUGGGGUCAUGUUGGCCUCAGACAAAGCAAGAGAACCUGGGCAUAGCAGAGGAGGGACUGAUGGGAACACCGUAGGACCCCCAUGUGCUGGGGCUGAGAUUUAGGGCACUGAGGGAGUCUGGGAGCAGCCAGGGUCUGCCAUCGGGAGUGGGUCGGCUAUGUGUGGUUUGUGUGUGGCAUAUGGGAGGAUGGAUCAGGCCCAUGUGACCUUCCUCAACCUCUCCUGCCAACUUGCUCCCCUGCUCUCAUUGCCCCAGCUGGCAAAGCCUGGGCCUGGCUGAACUACCACUGAGCCUCUGUGACCCCCUCAUCCUGCCAAGCCAAGGCAGGGCUGGCCAGACAGCCUCCAACCUGGACGUUUUCCUCAUGGGUUGUGCCUCUUGGGACUUUGAGAAACAGACACGUGCCACAAUUUUGUGUGGGGUUAAAUGCAGGAAUCCCCAGCUACGUCUGGGAGCUGAUCUGUUCCUCAUGGCCCUGCCCCCUCACUAACUGGGGGCCAUAAUCACACCAUUCACCCUCUCUGGCCUCACUUUCUGCACUGGGAGAAUAGGAAUGAUGCUAAUAAUUAUCCCUCUUUACAGGGUUACAGUAAGGCUAAAUGAGACUGUGAUGUAAAAGGUACUCUGUCAGCCAGGGACUUCAUCUUAUUUGACCAACACAUGUAAAAUUUUACAUAUUACUCACACGUAUAAUCGAAACAAAAGUUUAUACUUAUCUGUCAUAUUCUGUUGAAUGCAUUGAUCUACUCUAUUCUAUUCUGUUUCUUUCUAUUUCUUAAAACAUCACAGAUUGCCAGGUAGGGUGCCUCAUGCCUGUAAUCCCAGCACUUUGGGAGGCUGAGGUGGGCAGAUCACCUAAACUCAGGAGUUCCCGACCAUUCUGGGCAACAUAGUGAAACCUUGUCUCUACUAAAAUAUGGAAUAUUAGCUGGGCAUGGUGGUAUGUGCCUGUAGUCCUAGCUACUUGAGAGGCUGAGGCAGGAGAAUCUCUUGAAUUCGGUAGAGGUUGUAGUUAGCCAAGAUCCUGCCACUGCACUCCAGCCUGGGCGACAGAGCGAGACUCUGUCUCAAACAAACAAACAAAAACAUCUCAGAUCAUGAUGCAUUGGGUCUUGAAGUAUAGUUUGAAAAACACUACCAUAAACCGUGGAAUGGGAUAUAAAAGUAUCUGUGGUUUCACCACCUAGAGAGCUGGAAGUGGAACCUGGAAUAGUCUUGGGAGCUGUCGCCCAAAGCACAUCCACCUUGACCCCAUGCCACUCAUCACUGGCCUUACGUAGGCCUGCUUCUCUGUGGUGGAUUUGAACCUUACUGCUCCAGCCAUCUCCCCUGCCUGCCCACCAAGCCUCCCUGUUAACUGCAGUCAGCUUCAUGCCAAAGGCCAGACAUAGCCUGCCAGACUUGGAUGGGACCUCAAGAGUCACCUCAUCUUUCAUUUUAUAUAGGAGAAAACUGAGGCCCAACCAGGGAAAGUGAUUUAUUCAAGGCUGCCCAGUGAAUGGGUGGCAGAACCAGAACUAGAGUUCAUAUGUCCCUGUGUCAGCCCAAGGCUUGUUUUCAUUAUGGCCUUGUUAUCUGCCUGAUUGCAAACCCAACCCCCCUCCUUCUCUAUACCCCUUGGGUUUGGGAACCACUCCUGGCCUGAGUAGAACAGAAAAAAAGCAGCAGGGCCAGUCUGAAGUCUGCACAUACUAACCAUGUGGCCAAAGAUAGGCCUGUUAGUACUUCUAAGCCUCAGUCUCCUUCUCUAUAGAGUGGGAAUGAUGUUUUCUGCUCUUCCCAACACACAGGGUUUCUUUGCAGAUUAAAUAAGAUUAUGUGCAUCAAAUAGGCUUUGAAAAAAACAUAUAAAUGUGCUUAAAGUGGAAGGGUUCUUGAGGGUCAGGGAAGGGCUGAAUAGGUGAAGCAUAGUGGUUUUCUUAGGUGGGUGAUAAUAAUAAUUAUCUGUAUGAUAUUGCAGAUGGAUACCUGACACUACGUGCUUGUCAAGACCUGUAGAAAUUUAUAACACAAAACAGUCCAUUUUACACAAAAUAAAAUAAUCAUUUAGGAAAUUGGAGGAUCCUAAGAUGGAAUGCAACAUGUGACAAAACUAUGGAACUAUUAAAAACAUGUACAACUUCACUGAAGUGGGGGAGGGGUAGGAGUUUCUGAUCUAAGUAACUUUGGUAAUGAGUGGAGUCUAUAAGAUUAAAGGCUAAAGAAACUGUGCCUAAGCACUACUCUAGUUGAUAAAGUUGUUUCUCAUGGAGUGUGGUUAACAAUUCCAGUAUCACUAUACAUAUGUAUUGUAAUUGAAUGAGUAAGUCAAUAGAUAGUGUAACAGAUGGGUUUCUCACUGUGGGAGUGAAAUGUUGAGGCAAGGUGAGAAGGCUAGAGUGAUCCUUAUGAUAAUUUAUUAGAGUUGUAAUAUUAGCAUGAAAUCAAGUUUAAUAUAGAUACAGAUAGUGACAUAUAGAAAUAUUUAUAUGUUUGUAUAGAUCUGCUGUGUUGUACAUAUAGGUUAGUAGAUAUGCAUAUAUUUCUAUGGUCUGUCAGCUCAGAGCACUUAGAAGCAAUGACAGCCCACUAGCAAUGAGCACACUUAGUGCUUAGAUUUUGGUUUCUAAUAUCAUUCUCCAAUUCUAAAAAACCCCACAAAAAAACAGGGCUUCUUGUAGAAAUGGCUGAUUCUAGGAUUGGAACAGGAAAUGUACAAGAUGAACCUGGAACAUCUUGUAGUGCCAGAAAGUAAGGAAGAUCCAAGGAAGAAGUGAUGGGAGUAUGUCAAAGGGACAUGGGAGCAACUGGUGGAGCUACAGUGGCUAAAGCUGGAACAAAUGGAGCAAUAAAAUAAAUACAGUAGUACUGGAUUAUGACCCAAAGUGUAAGAGAAAUAUCCAUGAGUUCAUACUUAUACAAAUAAAUGACUACAUAGAGAAAAGGAGGAGAAGAUAUAAAAAUGCAGAAGAAUUGCAGAUGAUAUUCACAGAUGAGCAUAGCUUCCUGCUCCUUAAAGGUAGGCUCCACAUAGUGACUUACUUCCAAACAGCACAGGCAGAAAGGGGAAGAAAGCAUAAUUCAUAGUGGAGAAACCUGACAAACACUACUUCUGUUGACUGUUAACACAGUUAACAUUGACAGUGACAGGUCACGGUGGUGAUGUGUAUGUACCCUUGAUAGGAUGUAAUCAAAGUAGCACUUCAUCUCCGAGGUCUUCCUCCCUAAAACCCAUAACCUAAAACAUCAGACAAAUCCCAGCUGAGGAACAUUCUACAAAAUACCUGGCCGGUACUCCUCAGAACCGUCAAGAUCAUCAAAAACGUGAGAAGUCUGAGAAACUAUCGCAGCCAAGGGGGGCCUAAGAAGACAUGAUUGGCUAAAUGUAAUGCAGUAUCCUAGAGCAGAAAAAGGAUAUUAGGGAAAAACAGCCACUGAGGAAAUCCAAAUAAAGUAUGAACAUACUUUAAUAAUAAUGUUAGUCUUGUAGGGCUGAUGCCAAUACUGGUUUAUUAAUUGUGGCCAAUGUAUCAUGCUAAUAUAUGAUGAUGAAGAUAGGGGAAAUUGGGUGUGGAGAAUAUAGAAACUCUCUAUACUACCUUUGCAAUUUUUCUUUAAAUCUAAAACUUUUCUAAAAUAAAAAUUUUAUAUCAAAAAUUGAAGGCCUUACAUUGGUAAUUAUUCGCAGCUUAUGGCAAAGACAGGUGGAAUUGGGAGAAUGCCUGGGAAGGUUUCAAGGAAGUACAAGGGAGGACUUGGGGAACUGCUCAGGGGUGAGAGAUACAGCUUGGGAGGCAGGGCCGAGGGGAAGCUCGGUGCAUGCCCCAGCCUGAGGAGGUAUCAGAGGGAAAGGAUCCCUUGGGGCCCUUCCCUGACCUAGGAGGGCUUCUGGAGGAGGAGGUGAGUGGGUAGCGAGUGACAACCUGGCUCUUUGCUCUCUACCUUAUCCUGACCCACCUGGCCGUGCCUCUGGGGCUGUUCCUGCUCCUCAUCUGGAGGCAACCCAUCAGAAGAGUUGAAGGAUCAGCUCUGGCCACACGGUGGCUCACAACUGUGAUCCCAGCACUUCAGGAGGCUGAGGCGGAUGGAUCACAAGUUCAAGACCAGCCUGGUCAACAUGGUGAAACCCUGUCUCUACUUGAAAUACAAAAAUUAGCCGGGUGUGAUGGCGGGCGCCUGUAAUCCCAGCUAUUCAGGAGGCUGAGGCAGGAGAAUGGCUUGAACCCGGGAGUUGGAGGUUGUGGUGAGUCAAGACCAUGCCACUGCACUCUACCCCGGCGACAGAGUGAGACUCCAUUUUGAAAAAAGGAAAAGAGUGGUGAAAAAGACUGAGACUCCAUUUCAAAAAAAAGAGUGGUGAAAACCUGUGUCAGAGGGUUGUUGCAAGGUAAGUUGAGAUAAUGGCCAUGAGGGCCAACACCUGGUACCCACUGGAGACUUGAGAGUCUUACAGUCAAUUUACCUUCCCUUUAGUCUACCUUUGAGCAAGAUCAAACAGCCACUUCACCCUCAUUCCUGGAAUCUAGCCCUUCCUCUAGAUCCCAGGCCCAGUGUGGUAGUUUUAAGACCUGGCCCUCAAAUUCCGACACGCUUUCCAUCUAGAGGUCAGCUUUAUACCCCCCCUGUUGAAUCUGGAAUGUGUGACUGCUUCACAUAACAGAAUAUGGCAAAAGUGAUGCCAUUGCCAGUUCGGAGCCGAGGCUUUCAGACACUGUCAUCUUCCACCUCCCGUCUCUUGGGGUUCCCACUCUUGGAAUCCAGCCACAGCGCUGAGGGGAGGCUGAGCAGCCUGUGGAGAGGCCUAUGUGGAGGGGAACGGAGGCCCCAGCUCUCGGCCUUGGCUGAGCUCCCGGCCAGCAGCCAGUUCUCACUGACCGCAAGAAUCAUCUUACAAGUGCACCCUGGAAUCCCCAGAUGCGCUGCCCCAGCUACUGCCUUGCAGAGAAGAAACGAACCUUCCCACCAUGCCCUGUCCAAACUGUAGACUCAUGAGCAAAAUUAAUCACUGAUGAUAUUUUAAGCCAUUAAGUUUUGGAGUUAGGAAGCCCUAGUAACCCGAACAUCCGGUAACUGGGUCUAGGACUUUGACUUCCUCCACCUCCUCCUUCUCCUCUCUGCUUCGUGCUUGAGUUGUGAUGUGGGUUGUGGUGUGCUGGUCUAGUGGGGUGGGCGCUGAGCCACACUAUCUGGGCUCAAAUCCUGACUCUCACAUAUCAAUUGUAUGACUCUAAGCAAGCAAUGUAGUCUCUCUGUGCCUCAGUUACUGUGUCUGUGAAAUGGGGGUGAAGGUAGAUAGUACAGAAUUGCUGGGAAGAUGAAAGGAGCUGAUAAACAUCAAGGACAUGGAAAAGCACCUGCCACCUGCACAAUUAUUCUGCCAACCCAAGGCCUCAGCCCUCCUGGGUUCUGGGAUGCUGACUUACUGGGGCUUCUGUUGUUUGAGAUGACCUGGCCACUCGAGGCCCCAGACCUCCCACGUGCCACCAGCCUGCCUCCUGGGACUAUCACUCUUCCUGCUGGUGCCAGGCUCUGCCCAUGAGGCCAGCCUUGCUCACCCCCAUGACACUCUGGAUCUGCUGCUGGUCCCUCCCUGCACCGCUGUAAUUCUGACUUCCUUUUGGCAGAGCUCUUAGGGAAAAAGAGAGCGGUAAGGUGGAGAUAGAGGUCCCCACCAUAGAGGGUGGUGCCCUGAUGGGUGUGUAGAGGGGUCUUUAGUUCACAAACUUUACUGGGAAAUUGAAGCCUCAGCUUUCUUAGGGAGGCUAAACCUCUCUUAGGAAUUGUGUGAUGACAUGUGGCAGAUUCUCAAGGAAGCUAGGGUUGCGUCUUAAUUAGGUUUUGCCAGAGAACAAUGAACGUGCUCUAAGACACUUUCCCACAUACGUCUUCGUGCAGGUUGUGAGAGCUCAGAAAUGCUUUGCAUCCAGGCUAUGCCCAGGACUCAGGUUUCACUAGCUCCAGGGGUUCUCUGCUGCUGCAGGAACACAGCGGCCUCCUCAUUAGCGCUUUUCAAACCAAGGUGGUAACCGAGGGAGGAAUUGAAAGUCCCCUGGGGCAGAGGGACCUUUGCAAGGGGAGCCACCGCCCCAGUCUGAGGAGCAGAGAACAGUGAAGGGGGCGGGCGUCCAUGGGGGCAGUCUGAGUUCUGGAGCUUGCUGGUCCUGCAGCGCGACUUAAAGGUCACUGCACCAUCUCCAGUGAUUCCCUGAGCCUGUCGUGCUGCUCCCAAUUCCCACAGUGGGCCUGGAAGAACAACCCACUCCUUCAUGCUGGUAAAGCCAUGAAGCUGCGGUUGACCUGCAGGAAUAGAAGAACCGUAUCCCUCCUUCCAUCCCUUCACAGGAGGCUGAAAGCCAGGAGGGUUGAGAGGGUCUGGGCACGCAGGGGCUGUCAGGAGGUAGGAGGGGGCUGGCUGCAGAGAGAGAGAGGCAGGAGAGGGAGGACCGGAUGACCGAGGGUUUGCACUCGGCAGGGGACCUCCUCCCCUAACGCCUUCUGCGGGUCUGCACAGCUGUGCUGAGGCUCGUGGAAUCCAGUCGGGCCCUGACACCGCCAGGGGGACCGAUGGGCAGGCAGGACUGAGGACUGCGGGAUUGCACUCUGUAAAGGGCCCCCCUCCCUGGCGCUUUCUGCUGUCCCCACAUCUGUGCUGAGGUGAGCAGCCAGGCUGCUGGUGGGAGGGGAGGAGGUUCCCAGCCCCCUUGGGCAGGAUGGAGUUGGAUGUCUCCAACUGCCGCAGGCCCCUGGCAGGACUCACAGGAUGCCCCCGCAUUGAAUGGGAGCUUUCUAUCUUCCAGGACCCUCAUGGCUCCUCUGCCUCUGCUGCCUUUGGGGCAUCUCUGUGGCAGGGUGGCUGGGUGGCCUCCGUGUGCUCCCAGCUGAUUCCACCAGCCCUGUCAGCCUGGCACAGCCUGGGUUCCCUCCCAGGUCUGGUGUGCAGCUGGCAUGAGGCCUAGAAUCUGUCAGCGGCUUCAUUGAGAUGCUGCUGCAGCACUGCCCUAGUUCAGGGUUUCAGAGCCUUAAGGCACACAUCCCGGCCUUCUCCUGCUCUCUCUGUCACCCUGGAAACAGGUCUCAGUUUCUGGGGGCCCAGGGUGGAUGAUGGGGUUGUCCCCUCAGGGUGGGGUAGGGCAUGAGUGGAGAGCAGUGCUGGUGGGCUGAGUCGGGAUAGACCCAGCAGAACCAAGGCUUGGCAGCAGGUGGGGGCUGGGAGGACCAGGGCAGGCGCACCCUGAAGAAAGGGCCCUUUCUGACUUUCACUGGCAUAAAGGGAGUGUGUUUUGUUGGUUUGUCUUCCCUGGUGAGGGUGCCUUUUUCUAAUUUACACAAAAGUGUCCUAUGUGUCCACGGCAGCCAGGUGUGUGGACCCUGUCUCGGGUUCCCUGGGCAUUUCCUGAGUCCAGAAUUCCUGGCGCACCCACCUGGUCAGGGAUUUAUCCGUGGGAAAAACCUGGCAGCUUGUGAGGCGCGGCUCUUGAGACUCCUGAAGUGGGUGACUCUGGAUCUUCCCAGCCCCACCUCCAAGACGAGGAGAGACAGGACCUCCUCCCCACAGACUCCCAGCCAGCCACUCUCCCCUCACCCAGCCCAGGAGGGGAGGACAGCAGGCUGCUGUGUGUGGCCUAUCUCGUGUUCUCUGUCACAGCCACCCCAUCUGUGAUUUGUCCAUGGAAAAGCCAGCUAAGGACUAGAAACCCUGCUUAGUUCUCCUCACCCUGCCUCUCCUAGACUCUCUCCCCAGAAAUCCCUGCUUACGCAGGCCCCACAGCUUCAUGAGCCCUCGGGGAAGACGCAGGUCAACAAGCCCAGGUUGGUGACCCUGCUCUGGAAGUGAGGUCACUCGGCCUGGGCUCUGGUCCUGGCUCAGCUGCUCCUGCGUCCCUCCGGUUCCCAUGGCCCCCAUUUGCCCAUCUGGAGACAGGGUCUUGCCCUUCCUGGCCAGGACUGCAGGUGAGUGUAUGGGCAGCCACUUGGCUGGCCCACUGGAGUCCCCCAACUCUGAGUAGGGUACAUCAGCGGCUGCUGUGGGUGCCUGCCUGGGUCCCUUCACCAGCCCAUGAUGCAGCUCUAUGGGAGAGUUGGUGCUGCGUGAGAGGCUCACUGCUGCCUGCUUCUCUGAAGACCUAUCCUGUUCCGACAAGCUGGGAGAUUAUCCCCUCCCAGGAGCCCAUCCCCCAACCUCAUCCCAUCCCCCAAAACCAGUAUCUGACCCAGGGUAGCAGAGACUGGCCCCUUUGCCUUCAGGUGGGAUGAGCCAAUCCACGGUGCUCCCGAGCUCCUUGGGAUCCAGCCCAAGCUAGAGGUCACAUCUUUGCCUUGGUUUCUCCCCAGCCCCACCCCGCUUCCUUCACUGCCCUGCUCCUGAGAACACUCCCCAAUAAGCCACAUUCACUGGGACCCCCUCCCAGGCUCUCUUCUAGGACUCAAACCCGGACGGCAGGUAUGGCCUGUGAGAACUCUAGGGCCCUGUGGCUCCAGGAGCACGUGGUCCUGCCCGGUGAUGAAGCAGGUCAAGGCAUGAGCUGUCCUUGGAUAUAGGAGCUCAGAGCAGGUGAGGGAAGGGUGGCAGCUUGGAAGCCUGAGCUGGGGACACGGAUCUGUGCAGGGGAGGCAGGCUGGAGAAGCUGCUGUCCAGCCUUCCUCACCCUUCUCUCGGCCCCCCCACACUGAGCCUGGUCCCUGGGAGCCUCAUUAUUGGUCCUGUCUUACAGAGGUGGAUGCCAAGACUAGAGAGUCACUGUCUCUAAACUGCAGGUGACCCAGUAAAUUUGAGAGCCUCUGCUGGUCAACACUCCCUGUGUCCCACUCCCUAGCCCUGAGUAGUUGCAUAGUAUCUGCCCUGGAGGAGUUGGCAGAAGCCAGGCCCCUGGCAGGAAGGAACUGGGGAUAAACUGGAUCUUCCCCUGGUGUGGGGAAAGGGCCUGACCAUGUUAGAAUGGCUGGAGCAGCUGGUCUGACCCAUCUGGCGGGCAGCUGGAUUAGGAAAUUGGGGAGCAAGCUUUCUGCAGAGCUUCCAUCCCUUUUCCUGCCAGGAGGAAGGGGUCUUAUAACUUCUUGUCCUCAUGCUGAAUCUACCCCUCCGUGCAUGUUCAUGGGUGGGUGGCUCAGUGUUGAACACAAAGCCAGGGGUACAACGGGGACACUUUAGCUUCAGGCACCAUCGUUGGUGAAAUUAGGGACACUCAGGAUAGAGUACUUCUUGAGGAUCUCGUCACAUCACCAAGUCAUGUACACCUGCCCUGAUCUCAAAGAGGAGGGAAAGCCUUUGAUACUUGGACCGUUCCCACCUCCUCCUUCCAUACCCCUGCACGUACCACAGCCUGCCAGACAAUUGGGCAUUCCCUGGGCAUUUAGGGAAGGAAACCCUGGAAGAGCCUCAGGGGAGAGGCCAGGUGUCCUAGCAGAGAGGGCUGAGGCCGAGGAGGAGGAAGUGCUACAUGCUUUCCUGACCCGUUCAUAUUCCCAUUCAUGUUGGUUGGGCUUGCAUUGACACUCCCGGGCCAGUGCAGCUGGUCACUUACGCGAUGCAGCCAUGGCUUCCUGUGCUCAGCUGGUGGUGAGGCUGCAAAGGCUGGGGUCGCCGGCACCAGCAGACACCCUGGGCCCAGCAGCUGCUCUGAUAAGCUCAGGCUCGGCUGGCGGAAGGAGGGUGGUGGCCCCUGGCUCAGCAGCUUGGCCCAGAGAGCUGUGGCUAUUGUGCUAAUUUGCGUGUUUUCUCCACACCUUUCUUCUGCUCACUGCCAGGAAAGCCAUGGCUCUCUGGACGCCAGGGAGGGGGCAGGGCAUGUGUAAAUGAGUGGCCUUUGAGUUUGUGAAAGCCUCCAGCCUGUGGGCACACAUGAAUGGCAAGGCGGGGGGAGCUAUGCAAGUCUUCUGAGGGCAACUUAGCAACGGGGAUCUCAGUCCCUAAAGAUGUGCAUGCUUCUGACUCAGCAAUCUACUGGGAAUUGAUCCUAAGGAAAUAAUAUUAAGUUCAAUAUUAAGACGUGAGUAUAAAGACACUUACCCAGCUCUGUUUAUAACUGAUAACAGUCAAUGGCAGAUUGUACAUUCACACAAUGGAGCACUUGGCAGCCAUUUACACAGUGAGGGAUUCUCAAUAAAGCUGCCCUGAACAUUCUGGUACGUGUCUUUCCGCAGGCAUACGCACACCUUGCUCUUGGCUACAUACCUAAGAUGAGUUCAAAGGAUGAUGUGUGUUCCAUUUGAAUUGAUGCUGCAGAACAGCUGAUGAGCCUCCCACCACCAGUUUAUGAGAGCUCCAAUUGCCUAACAUCUUUGUCAACACUUGGUAUUAUCAGCCUGUAUCACUUUGGCUCUUCCAGUGAAUGUUUCAUUGUGGUUUAAAUCUGCAUUUCUAAAUACAUGCCAACAGAAAAAUGGAUAAACAAAUUGGAAAUCUACAUGGCAGUGAAAAUGAAUGAACUACUGAUUCAUGCAACUAUGUGGAUGAACCUCAAAAACAAUUAUGCAGAAAUGUGUACACAAAAGAGCACAUACUGUAUGGUUCCAUUAAUACGAAUUGCCAAAACAGGCAAAAGGAAGGUGAUAGAGGUCAGAACAGUUGCCUGAUCUAGGAUGGGGAGGUAUGGACUAGGAUGAGGGAAGAGGGUAACGAACUUUCUGGAGGGUUGGAAAUGUUUGAUGCCUUGUUCUAGGUAGUAGUUUAAAAGUGUAUAUAGGCUGGGCGCAGUGGCUCAUGCCUGUAAUCCUAGCACUUUGGGAGGCUGAAGCAGGUGGAUUGCCUGAGCUUAGGAGUUUGAGACCAACCUGACCAACAUGGUGGAAUCCUUUCUUUACUAAACUACAAAAAAUUAGCUGGGCAUGGUGGUGGGUGCCUGUAAUCCCAGCUACUUGGGAGUCUGAGGCAAAAGAAUUGCUUGAACCCGGGAGGCGGAGGUUGCAGUGAGCCUAGAUCACGCCACUGUACUCCAGCCUGGGUAACAGAGUGAGAUUUCAUUGCCAAAAAAAGGUGUAUAUAUAUAUAUAUAUAUAUAUAUAUGUACAAUUUUAUCAAACUUACCUUUGCAUUUUGUCAUAUAUAUAGAAAAAAUUUAAAAUAGACACCAAAAGAUGGAAAAUAAUAUAGAUCUAUAUUGAUUAAUCUGGAAUUAUGUUCAAAACAAAGCAAAUGUAAAAUGCAACUUGCAAAAUUCUAUGGGCAUUUAGGCCUUCCUUCAUGAGCUCUUUUAUUUUUGGUGAAAGUUCAAAACGAACAUAAAAUGUGGCGUUUUAAGCUAACAUACAAUGUAGAAUUUACACUGAAUAAUGUUCUUUGAAAAGGAUUCAAAGUGCAUAGGAACCAUGAAUAGAAAUAAGAAAUAACUCAAUGGUGCAUUGAUAAGGAAAUCAAAUAUUAUAGCUCUCAGCACCACAUUUUGAAGGACUGUAUGUGACAAGGCGGAGGAUUCUGAAUAUUGAAAGGAGAACAAAAAAAUUUGGAAUAUUUAACCUGGAAAAGAGACAACUUAGAAGCUAAUAUAUUUAGGGAUUUAACGGCUUCCCGUAUGAAUAAGGUCUCACACUUAUUCUGCAUCAUUAGAAAGAGAAGCAAAGGAAACAAGCUGGAUCUCAUCAGAGAAGGAACCUCAGUUGAUGGGAUACUGAAUGAGUGGUCAUCAAGGUUCCUUCCAACUCUGCUUCAAUAAGUCGCAUGAUAAGGGCACAUGAUGUAUCCAGAGUCACAUGAAAAAGAGUUAAGACUAGAAUCUUAAUCCUACACUCAACAGUGAAAUUCUAUAAGCAAGUUUGUGGAGAGGAACAAAAAAAGGGGUGUGUAGACUGUUAGCAAAAAUAGCAGCAAUACUCUCUCCCAUCCCUGUAAGAGCACCUCUUCCCAAUGUGACUUUUUUGCACCUCGCAUCAAGAAAUGAAGUCUGUUUUUCUGCCUUUUGAACCUGAGUUUGGCCCUGUGACUUGCUUGGGCCAAUGGGCCAUUAGCAAAUGUGAAGAAAGCAAAGGCUGGAAAAGAGCUUGUACACUGGACAUGCCCUCCUUUUCUGCUCUUAUAAUUGGCACCAUGUAAAUAAGCCCAGGCUAGCCUGCUGGAGACAUGUCCCAGUAGUCACUCUCACUACCCCAGCAGAUAACCAAAUAGCAGUUCCAAACCCCAGAUGCAUGAGAUCAUCCUAACCAAACAGCCCCCAGCUGACCCACCAGCUGACUGUAGCUACCUGAGUGAGCCCAGGUGAGGCCAGCCAAAGAACCAGCCUGCUGAGCCCAGCUCCAAUUGCCAACCCUCAGAAUCAGGAGCUACUAAGUACUUAAGUCACUAAGUUUUGGGGUGAGAUGCUAGGUAGUAAAAGUUAACUAACACAAAAGGCAGGCAUCUUUUUGAAUAAAAAGGUCAUAAAAAUCCCAUAUUUCAGAGAUUCUGGAGGCAAGAAGUAGCUUAAUUAGUUAUGAUGUAUUUUUAUUUUUAUUUUUUA